rnacentral:RNase_P_RNA from 1 species
AAAGUGGAUCAAGCGAUCGCGCGUCGCGCUUACGUGCGAAGCGAGGAAAGUCCGGACUCCAAAGGACGAGGUGGCCGUUAACGACGGCUCCGAGUGAUCGGGGGAAAGUACCACAGAAAUGACACCGCCUGCCGCUCCUGCGGUCGGUAAGGUUGAAAUGGCGAGGUAAGAGCUCACCGGUUCGCCAGUGAUGGCGAACGCAUGGCAAACCCCACCUGGAGCAAGGCCAAAUAGGAGGGCUGGGUGGUCCGCCCAUGGCCCUCGGGUAAGGUCGCUAGAUCUCUUGAGUAAUCAAGGGACAAGAUGAAUGAUCGCUGUGGCCCAUCGUAUGGGUUACGACAGAAUCCGGCUUACCGAUCCACUUUAGCC